UCCACACUUAGAUCCAUAGGCACAGGUCCUU
rnacentral:piRNA from 1 species